GAUGAACGCUGGCGGCGUGCUUAACACAUGCAAGUCGAACGAAGCACUUUAUUACAAUUUCUUCGGAAUGACGAUUUAGUGACUGAGUGGCGGACGGGUGAGUAACGCGUGGGUAACCUGCCUUAUACAGGGGGAUAACAGUUAGAAAUGACUGCUAAUACCGCAUAAGCGCACAGGAUUGCAUGAUCUGGUGUGAAAAACUCCGGUGGUAUAAGAUGGACCCGCGUCUGAUUAGCUGGUUGGUGAGGUAACGGCCCACCAAGGCGACGAUCAGUAGCCGACCUGAGAGGGUGACCGGCCACAUUGGGACUGAGACACGGCCCAAACUCCUACGGGAGGCAGCAGUGGGGGAAUAUUGCACAAUGGGGGAAACCCUGAUGCAGCGACGCCGCGUGAGUGAUGAAGUAUUUCGGUAUGUAAAGCUCUAUCAGCAGGAAGAAGAUGACGGUACCUGACUAAGAAGCCCCGGCUAACUACGUGCCAGCAGCCG
rnacentral:rRNA from 1 species